UGAUUUCAUGUGAAUAGUGAUUGCCCUUUGCCAUGGCAAUGGAUGGGAAAGUAUAAAAAAAAAAUUGCUAGGGCAGGCACUAUUCACAUGAAUAGUAAUAGCUCUUGCUUGCCCUUACCCUUUGCCGUGACAAAUGAGUGAAAGUUCUCUUAGUGUAAAACAAAAUCGAAGAACUAUUAAGGAAAAAAAAGAAGAAGAAAAAAAAUUCGCAAAAAUUAGGAAAAAAAUCUGCAGAGAUCGUAAAAAAAGAAGAAAGGAGAAGCAUAAAUAAGGAUAGUUGAUUUUGAUCUACCAUUGUCCAUAGUUUUCUGGCUGCAUAAGGUGUUCUUUUCUCUGAAGUGGAGCAGACUCCAACAACAAAAGGAACAAAA
rnacentral:lncRNA from 1 species